rnacentral:lncRNA from 1 species
GGUCCCCCUUUUAUAGGCGGAGGAGGCAACGGAUUGAUGGUGACAUUUGUAACCGUCUGGUAGUGGGCCGCCCAUGGUCAGGAGAAUUUAUUGCGAAGGGUAGUGGAGUAGACCCGUGGCUAUUGUCAUAGCCCACCACGUGGGGCCUGUUGCAGGUAGUGGAGCGGCGUCCGUUGCCGCUAGUUGUCAGUGAGUAGUGGAGUUGUGCAGCACCUACCGCAG